rnacentral:rRNA from 1 species
GACGAACGCUGGCGGCGCGCUUAACACAUGCAAGUCGAGCGAGAACCGGGGCUUCGGCCCCGGGGACAGCGGCGAACGGGUGAGUAACACGUGAGUAACCUGCCCUCGGCACCGGAAUAGCCCGGGGAAACUCGGAUUAAUGCCGGAUAGCCCCUCUGCCCUGCGGGGCGGCGGGAAAAGGUAGCUUCGGCCUCUGGCCGAGGAUGGGCUCGCGGCGGAUUAGCUUGUUGGCGGGGUAACGGCCCACCAAGGCGACGAGCCGUAGCUGGUCUGAGGGGACGAUCAGCCACACUGGGACUGAGACACGGCCAAGACUCCUACGGGAGGCAGCAGUGGGGAAUCUUGCGCAAUGGGCGAAAGCCUGACGCAGCGACGCCGCGUGCGGGAAGAAGGCCUUCGGGUUGUAAACCGCUUUCAGGAGGGACGAAGCCACUCGGGUGAACAGCCCAGAGGGUGACGGUACCUCCAGAAGAAGCCCCGGCUAACUACGUGCCAGCCGCCGCCGUAACAC